rnacentral:misc_RNA from 1 species
UUUCCGUAGGUGAACCUGCGGAAGGAUCAUUAUAGUAUAACCGAGGUGCGAGGGCUGUCGCUGAACCGACAGGUCGCGCACGCCCGAGUGCCCUGACACACAUCCAUCUCACCCCUUUGUGCACCACCGCGUGGGUCCCCCUUUGGCUUGUUCGGAGGGGGGCUUACGUUUUCACACAAACUUUGUAUGCAGUAUAGAAUGUAUUUUUUGUUUUUGCGAUCACGCAAUCAAUACAACUUUCAACAACGGAUCUCUUGGCUCUC